GAUGAAGAACGUAGCGAAAUGCGAUAAGUAAUGUGAAUUGCAGAAUUCAGUGAAUCAUCGAAUCUUUGAACGCACCUUGCACCCUUUGGCAUUCCGAAGGGUAUGCUCGUUUGAGUGUCAUUGUACUCUCACUCUCACGAUCUUUGGAUCGGGAGUGGUGGACUUGGGUGUUGCUGCUUUACCGUGGCUCACCUCAAAUGGAUUCGUGCAACUCCUGGUUGGACAUAGUACGGCGUGAUAAGUGUCUUCGCCGGCACCUCACUAGAGGGUGGCUGACCGGGAGCUCUGUGCUUCAAACCGUCUUCGGACAACAACUGACAACUUGACCUCAAAUCGAGUAGGACCACCCGCUGAACUUAAGCAUAUCAAUAAGCGGAGGA
rnacentral:misc_RNA from 1 species